rnacentral:lncRNA from 1 species
CUGUUGAACUUGAAUACUUAAAGUACCAAAGAGUACGGCGUUUCUGUUCAAUGAGCUAUCGCGAUAGCAGAUGAAACAGUUGUUCGGAUAGGUGGAUCACAACAGGCUCAAAUGUCGUGCAUAGAGAGAAGAAAGUUACGACAGAAAUAGUCCUAUUUACGUGAUUAUAUCUCGUACAGUAAACUUCGACAACGGCAGCUGUUCCCCUGUCCAGGAUGCAAAUCCGCAAUGUUGUCGAAUUUAAGUGAUUGAGGACCAGUAAUGUCACAAACAAACACAUUGCCUAAUCACACUGCUCAUUGAGCUUCGAAUCGAUGUACUAUGGGCCCAGAAGAGAUGAAAACACGGGCAUCAAUCUCAAUAACAUCAGAAGCAAUACUAACAGCAGAACAAUUGCCAGCAGCAAAAACAUCUCCUGGAGUAGAAGAAGCCGCAUGUAAAAAGAUCAUAAAGAAAUCGACACUACCAAGAGCACCAAAAGCAGCACAGAAGAGAGGUGGAAGGAAUAAAAGAAAGCAGGGGCCUAUGUAUUUGAUGGGAGAGUAUUUUUACAUCCACAGGUAUCUGACCUCACUUAUGGAAGAACACUCAAUGGAAAAAAAUAUCCAAGUCAUCAUGGAACAUUGCAAUUUGUCAUAAAAGCAAAGCAAAACAGCAAAAUAAAUGUUAAGAAGAUGUAUGCAGCAGAAUGAUGGUAUCGGCUCGAGCAUCACAUGGUACAUUGCUGCUUGCCACUGAGCAUUGCCCACCAACCACCAUCUUAUGUGCACACCGCUGUCAGCAGACGAUGACACCAGCAAAACUUUCUUCCUGACAAUUCCUAAUGGUGAUGUGAUAUGAAGGCCAGUGAUGACUUGUGUGAAUGCCACUAUUUGAAAUGCAUUGUGGAGUUUUGAUGUGAAGUGAUGUGAGAGCAUGUGUGAAUUGGCCUUAAUAGGAUAUUGUGAUUGACCCAGGCAAACGACUUCAAUAAAUGGCAGAAGAUCCCA